AUUUAGGGCUAAUUUAGCACCUAAUAUCGUCAUUACCCCUAUUGGUAACAUCACGUGAAAACAAACACAUUGGUUAGCAUAAUAAUAAGGGGUCGUUUGGUUGGGGGGUAUCAUCAAAGGGAAAGGGAAUGGACAGGCCCCAUUCCCUUUGUUAUUGUUUGUUUGUUAUCAUGUAUCAUUCCCUUUACCCUUUUUUAUUUUGUGUUUACCCAAAUAUCUUUCACACUCAUUCCCCACCCCCCAAGACUUUUGCAUUCCCAUUCCCCUCUUCAUUACCCAUCACACUCUCUCUCCUCUCUUAUCCUAAAAUUCCCAGCGGCCGUCACCUUUCACUGGAGCUCCGGUCACCACGACGACCACUUGAGAUUGUUCACUGGUGACCACAUCUGAGCAAUUCCGACAAGAAAAUGGCUCGUAUUGGUACUUCUUUGAAAAGGAAGAGAAAUCGGGACUUUAUUCGGUUCAUAAUUACUAUGAUUAAUUGUGUUGUAUUGCUACAUUUGAUGUGUUACUCAAUGAGAAAAACUAUAUACAAUUCUCAUUAUCUUAAGCUAGAUAAAAAAACUAGAAGGAGAAGGAGAUUGCACAACUUGAAUAGAAUGAUUAGAGAAAGUGACACUUUGUGUAGGAACUAUCUUCGUAUAAAUCGAUACACAUUUGGUGUACUUUUAGAAAUGGUUAGAGAUAUUGGUGGAUUAAAUGAAACAAGAAACACAUGUUUGGAAGAGAUGGUUGCGGGCUUCUUAUACACAUUAGCUCACCAUAAGAAAAAUAGAAUGAUUGGUGCACAUUUUUAUAGAAGUGGUGAAACUAUUAGUAUACAAUUUCAUGCUUGUUUGUUAGCAAUCUUAAAGUUACAUACUAUUCUUCUUAAGAAACCAACUCCAAUACAAGAGGAUUGCGACGAUGAAAGGUGGAAAUAUUUCAAGGUAAAUUAAAAAACCAACACUUUAAUUUGAGAUAAAAUAGAGAGACUAUUACAUAAUUUAAAGUGAUAUUGUUUGUUUUGUAGAACUCAUUAGGUGCCCUUGAUGGUACAAUGAUUCUAGUUAAUGUUCCUUGUGAAGAUCGAUCCAAAUAACGCACUAGAAAAGGUACCCUUGCUAUGAAUGUACUAGGAGUAUGCUCAUACGAAAUGGAAUUUAUAUAUGUCUUACCUGGUUAGGAGGGAUCGUCACAUGAUGGUCGGAUUCUUUGAGAUGCUAUUUCUAGGCCUAAUGGGUUGAAAGUUCCAAAAGUAGGAUGGAUGAAAGUAGUGCAAGUGGAGGUGGAAAGGGAAAAAACAAACGAUUUUGGACCGCUCUAGAAGAUAAAGUUCUUGUAGAAGCAUUGUCAGAGCUAGUUGUUGAUCCUCAUUGGAAGUGUGAAAAUGGGUUUAGAAGUGGCUACAUGGUUCGCUUAGAGGAGAUCAUAGGUAAGGCUCUUCUUGGUUGUGGGUUAAAGGCUAUGCCAUACAUCGAUUCUCGACUGAAGACACUUGGAGCAAAGUUUAGGGCUAUUUCUACUAUGUUAAAUACAAGUGGAUUCGUUUGGGAUGAUUCCAAAAAAAUGGUUUCUGUGGACCGGGCUGUUUAUGAUGAGUUUUGCAAAGUAUGAUAACUUUUUUAAGAACCAUCCGAGCUGCAAAAACUUGUAUGGAGUUUCAUUUCCCCACUUCCAUGAACUCAUGAAUGUUUAUGGCAAGGAUUAUGCAACUGGAAAACCAGCUGAAGAUUUUGUUGAAGCAAUCAACAAUUUGCAAACUGUUGCCCCCCACAGGUGACACUCGAUUCAAGUGAUGAUGAGGGAGUUGCUGCUAGUGGUAAUGGCACUCAAAUCGUUACUUCUCCUCCUUCAAAAAAAAAAAUGAAGACUGAAAAAAGCUCCAAAAGAAAUAAGAAAGGAAAAGGUGGUGGUGGAAGUAAUGAUUUGGCUAGCUUACAAGCAUUCAUGAAAGACAUGAAUGUUCAUCUUUCCACUAUGGCAAAUGUGAUGGCACGCACUGAUGAUCGUGAACAACGUGCAGAUGAAAAGAGCAAAAAUUAGUUGAAAAGAGUGAGCAAGUGCUAGAGGAACUAGUCUCUUUCAAUUUAGAAGGUGUCACGGAAGCCCAAGUUUUUGAAGUGACUAACAUUCUAACCGCACAACCAAACAAGCUCAUGGUAUUUUCAAAGUGUCCUGACGCUUUGAAAAGUGCUUAUGUUAAGAGUCUUCUAGGAGGAAGUGGAAAUGGUAAUGCUUAAAUCUAGUGUGGUGCUUUCAUGUAUGGUUUUGAAUUAGGUGUUAUUCACAAGCUACUACUUUUGGCAUGAACUUUAUCUAGAUAGAACUAUUAGCAAAGACUUGGGUUGAAUGUUAAUCCUAUUAGAACACUUUUGGUAUGAACUUUUAUCCAGGAACAAGUACUUUGCAUUGGUAUUAUUUUCACCAAGAGGUGAUUAUUUGGAUUUGUAA